GCCUUCGUGGUGUAGUUGUUUGCAUGCUCGGUGCGUAACCGAGAGGUCCAUGGUUCGAUUCCCGGCGAAGGCG
rfam:Stegodyphus mimosarum contig10047, whole genome shotgun sequence.